UAGGGAAUCUUCCACAAUGGACGCAAGUCUGAUGGAGCAACGCCGCGUGAGUGAAGAAGGUUUUCGGACCGUAAAGCUCUGUUGUUGGUGAAGAAGGAUAGAGGUAGUAACUGGCCUUUAUUUGACGGUAAUCAACCAGAAAGUCACGGCUAACUACGUGCCAGCAGCCGCGGUAAUACGUAGGUGGCAAGCGUUGUCCGGAUUUAUUGGGCGUAAAGCGAGCGCAGGCGGAAGAAUAAGUCUGAUGUGAAAGCCCUCGGCUUAACCGAGGAAUUGCAUCGGAACUGUUUUCUUGAGUGCAGAAGAGGAGAGUAGA
rnacentral:rRNA from 1 species